rnacentral:rRNA from 1 species
CCCUUAGAUGUUCUGGGCCGCACGCGUGCUACACUGAGUGGAUCAGCGGGUCAGGUUGCGCGAAAGCGUUUCCUAAUCUUUAAAUCCGCUCGUGAUGGGGAUUGACGGUUGCAAUUUUCUGUCAUGAACGAGGAAUACCUUGUAAGCGCGGGUCAUCAUCCCGCGCUGAAUACGUCCCUGCCCUUUGUACACACCGCCCGUCGCACCAAUCGAUUGAGGUAUCUGGUGAAAAUGCAGGAAACCUCUGUGGCAUGCUUCAUUGCAAGCCGUAGAAGAUGAAUGCAUUUAAACCAGGCGCCUUAGAGAAUGGUGAAGUCGUAACA